GGCUACAUCACAUUGAAAUACCAGUUCCUGUAUGAUCACCAAAGUUAAACGACAUCAAGCCUGGUCAGUACUUAGAUGGGUGACUUCUUAGGAAUAUCAGGUGCUGUAU